GGUUAAGCGACUAAGCGUACACGGUGGAUGCCCUGGCAGUCAGAGGCGAUGAAGGGCGUGCUAAUCUGCGAUAAGCGCCGGUAAGGUGAUAUGAACCGUUAUAACCGGCGAUACCCGAAUGGGGAAACCCAGUGUGACUCGUCACACUAUCAUUAACUGAAUCCAUAGGUUAAUGAGGCGAACCGGGGGAACUGAAACAUCUAAGUACCCCGAGGAAAAGAAAUCAACCGAGAUUCCCCCAGUAGCGGCGAGCGAACGGGGAGGAGCCCAGAGCCUGAAUCAGCAUGUGUGUUAGUGGAAGCGUCUGGAAAGGCGCGCGAUACAGGGUGACAGCCCCGUACACAAAAGCGCAUGUGCUGUGAGCUCGAUGAGUAGGGCGGGACACGUGGUAUCCUGUCUGAAUAUGGGGGGACCAUCCUCCAAGGCUAAAUACUCCUGACUGACCGAUAGUGAACCAGUACCGUGAGGGAAAGGCGAAAAGAACCCCGGCGAGGGGAGUGAAAAAGAACCUGAAACCGUGUACGUACAAGCAGUGGGAGCACCCUUUGGGUGUGACUGCGUACCUUUUGUAUAAUGGGUCAGCGACUUAUAUUCUGUAGCAAGGUUAACCGAAUAGGGGAGCCGGAGGGAAACCGAGUCUUAACCGGGCGUUAAGUUGCAGGGUAUAGACCCGAAACCCGGUGAUCUAGCCAUGGGCAGGUUGAAGGUUGGGUAACACUAACUGGAGGACCGAACCGACUAAUGUUGAAAAAUUAGCGGAUGACCUGUGGCUGGGGGUGAAAGGCCAAUCAAACCGGGAGAUAGCUGGUUCUCCCCGAAAGCUAUUUAGGUAGCGCCUCGUGAAUUCAUCUCCGGGGGUAGAGCACUGUUUCGGCUAGGGGGCCAUCCCGGCUUACCAACCCGAUGCAAACUGCGAAUACCGGAGAAUGUUAUCACG
rnacentral:rRNA from 1 species